rnacentral:tRNA from 8 species
GCCCCUGUAGUUCAAUGGAUAGAACGCGAGCCUCCGAAGCUCGAAGUGUGGGUUCGAUUCCCGCCGGGGGUACAA